AUGGGAGCGGGGGAAGGGGGCGUGUCGGAGAGAAAGGUUUGUUUGGUUAAUUUCGGUCCCGGAGGGAGAACGGAGAGGCUCCACCAUCGGGACGCUGGAACCCAGGAUGCGAGAAGGCGGGAUCCGCGGCGCUGUUGCGGUGAGCUGAGCCAAGCCCCGGACCCGGCUCUCUCGUGCAUCCGAGGCGAGGACCGCGCGCCCUCUGCUCGACCCUCGAGCCCUUCCACCGGCCGGCUGUCCCCUGCGAGGCAUGAGCGGCGCGCGGGAGCCCGAGGUUUCAGCGCGGUCAUGAGACGCUGGCCCGGGAGCGGCAACUGGGCGACGGCAGCCCCCAGGACCCCUCCGGGCGCGGCGCCUCCGGGAUGAGCCCCCCGGCCCGCGCCGGCCUGAGCUGAGACUGGCCCCCACUGCCCCACCUCCGUCCUGCGCGCCCGAGCCACGGGCACCUCACCCCUGCCGCUUCUUGCCGAGACACCUGCGCGCUGGACCAGACGGACGCCCGGCGAAUCGGACUCGCCUCCCUUCCCAGGCUCUACUCACCGCCGCCGGCGCCUGAGCAGCGGUGCUCGGUGAGCGGGCGGCCCACCGUCUGGGAGCGAGUGUCAAGACCUUUCUGGAACGACCCCGUCUCUUCCCCCUCGUACAUAGGCCAGCUGCAGGGAGGGGCGCACAGUCGCCGGCAGACACCUGGCUGGGCCGGCGCCCUCUCGGUUCUCCAUCACCACAACUCCCAACUCCACUUGUCAAUAAAAGNNNNNNNNNNNNNNNNNNNNNNNNNNNNNNNNNNNNNNNNNNNNGCCUCGGCGCGCGCCGGGCUCUGCCCUCGCCGGCCGCAGCGACCUCGGCAGCUGGGGCGCGCGCUCGGCGCAGCCCGGCAGGCGGACGCGGACUCCAGAGGGGCUCGCGGGUCACCUCCAAACAGUGACAGCCCCCGCGCACCCGGGGCCCCCGCCUGGAGCCGGCUUUCCCGAGGACUCGGCGGCGGGGCGGCGCGGCCUGCGGC
rnacentral:lncRNA from 1 species